CUAGAAUCUUAUUUUUAUAAUGUCCUUUAGAUGAGUGCAAAGAUUUGAUGUGAGUGAGAAAAACCAGUUGGCUUCUGCAGCAUGGAAGCUCACAGGUGAAGAUGAGAAGCAAGUGUUCAAGAGUUCAUCAGAUGACCUCGAAUCAUGGCUGUUGGCAAAAACAUGAAGCACAGCCAGGAGGAAAAACCUUUAAUUUUGCCCGUUGGCCCCGUUUAUACCGAAGCAGAAGAAAGGUUUUGGUUAUUCUAUGCUAUCACUAAGCCAACUUAAAUACGGCAAACAGGACCACUUACAAAGAUUGCUGGUUGGACCUUAGUCCUACUAACUGAAGGUUACAAAGUCCUGCAUUCCAAACAAGUGACUUUACUGGGGAAAAACACUCGUACAAUGCAUGGUCCCAUGUAUUUCACACUGACUGAAACCUUAGGCCAGACAAGUUACAACCUUCCACUAGGAAAUAGGCAAGCCAUUAAAAAAGCUCCUGGAAUGCUUAGUUAAGUAGCUUAAGUUUGGAGUAGUAAUGUAAAUAGAUUUUCCUAUACACUGUAAAAAAUUGUACAAUAUACGUUUUAUUGUAGU